rnacentral:lncRNA from 1 species
UAAGGAUCCAGCAUUCGCACCAGCACGACUACCAGCAUGUCCAUGCUGCAUAGUGAAUAUCACCAUAGAAUAGGAUAAUUAUUCUAGAACAGGAUAACAGAACAGGACAAUUAACCUAUAAUUAUCCUGUUCUAGGGUGGUAAGUUUGAAAACGCCCCAUGUGANGAUAGGAAAUAGUUACUUAAGGUUUGGUUAUGCCGUGCUGGUUGGUUGGAGUCCACAAACCAGCAUGUCUCCGGGAAUUGUCUACCUCAGGUAUCAGCUAGUUUCGGGACUGGACUACAUCUUCUGCCUUUGAGACCUGCCAAGAUAAGCUGUAUGGAGGCGGAGACGGGAGUUGAGUGGCUCUCAAAACAGAAGUCGACAAGCGAAUGCAAACCUACACACACUGCCGCGCUUGAGUUCUCGGCUAAGGUACAGAGGGAUUCCUCAUUUCUGCCCNCUGCGUGUGAGCCUUCUCAGGUCUGUGUCAGGCAUUCAGCGCAGCCGCCAUCGCUGGGAACAAAUCCGUAGCAGCUGAAGAUGAAAAUAGCUUCCACGGCACUUAGAAUGGAAAUCCAAGCUUCCCUUUGGUACGGGAAAGGAGUGUUCGUUGCCGCUUCGACAAACAAACGGGGGGCCUAAGGUGCCACAGAUAGAGACUGCGCCUGUCUGCUUCAUAAUUUCGUGACUUUGUUCUGUGGGGAAGGGAAGAAAAGGCUUCGCCUGUGUUCUCCUGAGUGGGUUUAGGAGAAAAAAGCGACAGUUCAUAUCGAAGAGAAGCUCUGAACGCGAUGAGAACGGUCAGGACAGGAUCCACUUUAGACACGUAUUCCUUUAUGGAAGCAGGCAAUUUUUGGCAUACGCAAUCUUGUUUACACACACCCUACGCUUGCUUUUUAAAUUCAGAGGAAUAUGAGUCUGGCUGUCAGAGCGUGGGAGCUGCUGGAUAAUUCGAUGCAUGGCUGAAGAGAUAGGGCCCCCUCCCCUUUCAGGGACUGUUAGUUGCGUUUUUAAUGAAUCGAGUUUGAACCGUAUAUUUUUGUUUCAUUGCAUUGGUUUUAUCGUAAUCGGCUCUGAGACCUUCGGGUAUAGAAGUGGGAUAGAAGUGCAAAUAAAUAAUUAAUUAUGUGAAUGCA